rnacentral:rRNA from 1 species
AGUGAACGCUGGCGGUAGGCCUAACACAUGCAAGUCGAACGGCAGCACAGUAGGAGCUUGCUCUUACGGGUGGCGAGUGGCGGACGGGUGAGGAAUACAUCGGAAUCUACUUUUUCGUGGGGGAUAACGUAGGGAAACUUACGCUAAUACCGCAUACGACCUACGGGUGAAAGCAGGGGAUCUUCGGACCUUGCGCGAUUGAAUGAGCCGAUGUCGGAUUAGCUAGUUGGCGGGGUAAAGGCCCACCAAGGCGACGAUCCGUAGCUGGUCUGAGAGGAUGAUCAGCCACACUGGAACUGAGACACGGUCCAGACUCCUACGGGAGGCAGCAGUGGGGAAUAUUGGACAAUGGGCGCAAGCCUGAUCCAGCCAUACCGCGUGGGUGAAGAAGGCCUUCGGGUUGUAAAGCCCUUUUGUUGGGAAAGAAAAGCAGCGGGUUAAUACCCCGCUGUUCUGACGGUACCUAAAGAAUAAGCACCGGCUAACUUCGUG